GAAAGAGGGGGAGGUGCGGGAGGGAGGAGGGCGAGCUGCGCGCGCUGGUCUGGCGGGGGCCGACCCGGCCGCGCCCGCCUCGUGACCCACCCUGGGGCCCAGCCUGGACCUGCGCGCCCAGCCGAGCUGCUGACUAAGCGGGCACGCAGCGGCCUGGCGCGAGGUUCUUCAGAGGGCGAUCGUUGGGCGGUCGGGCACCGACUUCCUAGCACCCUGGGCGGCUGCGCCCUCCUGCGGACGGGCCUACGCCUGGAUGUGGGCACGCGGGUCCUCUGGGGCGGCGGAGCGGCCUCAGAGCACGAGGUGCCGAGUAGCACCCAGCUCCCAACCGCGCGUCGCUGCAGGGAACGCUGCGCCCAGGGCCCCGCCCCGCCCUGUCCCGGCGCUCAUUUGUCGUCAGCCGUCUCUAGCAUUUUGCAGCCCUUACCUGGGCGGUGCCUGUCAGGUAGGGAAAGAAUAGGGUGCCCCGAAAAGAGGUAUGCGUUUGCACUGGGGCCACCGCUUGCUGUGUGCGGCUGGCCUUGAGCAAGCCAUUCAGCAUAUCUGAAAUUCGGUUUUCCUUUGUGAAGUACCUAUAGCACCGUCCACCUCACUGACCCAGUAGUGGGCCUGGCGCGUGGUGGGUGUUGCGUCUACCUGCAUUAAUAUGAACCGUCUUCACUAAUUCCCACCCGAUCGGAAGGGUCAGCUUUAAGAGGGCGGUGAUUACUGCGUUGUCCAUAAAACAAAAGAUUUUUGUGUUUCCGUGUUCAGGCUGUUAAUAGCACCUUCUCUUUUCUUAGGGUGUGUUUCAUAACCCAACGAGGGGCUUUGGAAGAAAGGGUGGCCAAGGGCUCAUCUGUGACCCUCAGCCUCAUGAGAAUUGUGGGAAGUUUUCUCUACCCUGGCACCUACCUCACUCUUUACUGGAAGACCCGUAUAGGACCGCACGCACAGUUUUUGCUGCCCCUCUCCAGAAUUUUUCACCUCGUGGGACAUUGCUGUGACCAUCAUGGGAGGAUGGCCUGAACCCUGGAGAGAAGUUAGCCUCCAAUAGCUUGAAGGAGACUGACAAGGACCAUCUCCUGGAAGGAAGAAAAGAAAGUGCUAAUGUGGCACGGGUGAGGGACUGACCUAAGUUUUUUUCACAAGUGAGCUCAUCUGAGGGGCUGAGGCUGUAGCUCAAUGGUAAAGUGCUUGCCUCUCAUGUGUGAGGCAUUGGGUUCAAUCCUCAGCACCACGUAAAAAUAAAGAUACAAGUGAGCUCAUCUGAGUCCAUAAGGGUGUUGUGAGCUAGGUGGAACAUUUGAUAUAAGGAAAUUGGUUCAUCAGGUUAAAAUAGGUCACCUCAUAUCUCAUAGCAAGGAUGACAUAGAGCCAUACUCUUGGAGACUCCACUGCAGUUGUGUUCUAGGGUUCUGGCAAGAAAGGAUCAUCUGGUCAAGUCUCCCUCACAGUCUUGAGAUGCUAGGGACCAUAUUAGAGGGUAUGAACGAAGGCAUCUUACACUAUGGCCUACCCCUCCAAGUUCUCAGCCGUUUGUCUCAGAACAAAACCACACUAGGUAGCCAGGUGUUCAGGCGUAUGCCUGUAAUCCCUGCUACUUGGGAGGCUGAGGGAGGGAGAUUGCAAGACCAGCCAAAACAAUUUAGUGAGAUCCUGUCUCAAAAAAGGGCUGGGGAUAUAGCUUAGUGGUUAAGUGCACCCAUGUUCUAUCCCUGGUACCAGAAAAACAACAACAACAAAAAUAAAAUAAAACACAUUAAACCAUGCGGGGUGGCUUUAUGCUUGUAAUCCCAGCAGUUUGGCAGUUUGGGAGACUGAGACAGGAGCAUUGCAAGUUCAAAGCCAGCCUCAGCAAAAGUGAGGUGCUAAGCAACUCAGUGAGACCCUUUCUCUAAGUAAAAUACAAAAUAGCACCGGGGAUGUGGCUCAGUGGCCUAGUGCCCCUGAGUUCAAUCUCUGGUACAAAAAAGAACAAAAAAAAAACCCACAUAAGUAACAGAUGAAGGAGGGCAUUUGAGGUAGAAUCCCCAAAAGGCAGAGGAGAGGCAACCCUCCCCCACUCUUCCUUGGUCUUGGAGGGGUUAAUGAAAGGAGUCCUGUGUAUCAGAGUUGGGCCUUUUUUUAGCACCAUCUGGCAGGAGUCACCUCUCCUGCACCUGCUACUUAUACAAACCAUUGCUCCUUUGCCAGUCAGCAGUGCAGAGAUGUGAUGCCUGUGUAAUUUGGAUUCAGUGGCCCCCAGGGUCAGUAUGUUCUUUGUUUCAUGUUCUGAAAAUGGAAGCCCCUACUUGCUGUUGAGUUGUAUGUGGAACCGAAGGGACAAGAGAAAGUCAACAGAGGCAGAAGUCUCUCUCUCCCACCCUCCAAUCUCAAAACUUGGCUGAAGUAUGAGAAAGAGAAACUUCCAAGGCAAACAAAUGAAGGCCUAAGUAUUUAGGAAUAGUUCUUCAAAGCACAGGGCUUUGUAGGUAGGUACUUCUUAGUUCUGAACAGGUAGCUUCUAUGUUUCAGAUCAAAACAGUGCAUGAAACUGGUUGACCCAGGGACCCUUGGAAUUGAGUGAGGUUUUCCCUUCCUUUCUUUGCUGCCAAAGCAGCUUUUCCUGUCCUAAAUUAGCUGACAUACUUAUUGAGACCUACAAAGUGUGGACCCUCAGGAACUUGCAGACAAGUGAGGGGCUGGAGAGUGACUAUAAUUUAGGUUAAGUCUACUCAGUUGUGUUAUGAACCAGUUUGAAGAAGUGAACAGAAGGGGUCUGGUCAUCCUCAGAAGUAUAGAAGUGAGGGCUGGGGAUGUGGCUCAAGCGGUAGCGUGCUCGCCUAGCAUGCGUGCGGCCCUGGUUCGAUCCUCAGCACCACAUACAAACAAAGAUGUUAUGUCCGCCGAGAAAUAAAAUAUUUAAAUAUUAAAAUUCUCUCUCUCUCUCUCUCUCUCAUCUCUCUCUUAAAAAAAAAAAAA
rnacentral:lncRNA from 1 species